rnacentral:rRNA from 1 species
UACGUAGGGGGCAAGCGUUGUCCGGAAUCAUUGGGCGUAAGGCGCGUGUAGGCGGUUCAGUAAGUCUGCUGUGAAAGUCCAGGGCUCAACCCUGGGAUGCCGGUGGAUACUGCUGGGCUAGAGUACGGAAGAGGCGAGUGGAAUUCCCGGUGUAGCGGUGAAAUGCGCAGAUAUCGGGAGGAACACCAAUUGCGAAGGCAGCUCGCUGGGACGUUACUGACGCUGAGACGCGAAAGCGUGGGGAGCAAACAGG